rfam:Jaapia argillacea MTCL 33604 unplaced genomic scaffold JAAARscaffold_12, whole genome shotgun sequence.
GUCACUAUGGCCGAGUGGUUAAGGCGACAGAUUCGAAUGAAAACUUAUCUGUUCCUCUUUGAGGGCACAGGUUCAAAUCCUGUUGGUGACG